AGAAGACCUCACAGAAGCAUGUUUCAGGUGUACAGUAGUUACAAGGCAUUACUACUUGAAUAGUAGCAAGAAGUUCCCACAUAAACACAAAGUUCUGCUUCCCAUGACGCAGUAAUCAUGGAGUGAAGAGAUGCUGCUGAAGCUUGGAAUUUCAGAAAGACCUGCAUGCCAGAAUAUGCUGACACACAGUAGAACAACAGAGAAGGAGAACACCUUGGUAACCAUUGUGACUAAUCGUCUUCCCGGCCUGGAAAAGAACAUGCCUGUCUUCUACGUACCUUCCCAAGAACGCCAAGUUCACUGCGUGCCAUUUGUUCCAGAAGUGCAGCCUUCUCUAGUCUUGACACGCCUUUUCCUUUCAGAGCAUGGAGGAAUGAGGAACUCUGGGACCGAAAAACACACUGCCAGUUCGAUAAAUUAUCUGAAAAAUCUUGA